ACCACGGAGCUUGAUAGAUAUUUGGAGGAGAACCCAAUACCACGUUCUCAAGAAUUUGACAUUUUAAAGUGGUGGAUGGGUAAUGCAACCAAGUAUCCAAUUCUAGCCUGCAUAGCAAGGGAUCUGCUAGCCAUCCUAGCUUCUUCUGUAGCUGCAGAAUCUGCUUUGAGCACUAGUGAAAGAAUAAUUAGUGACUUCCAUAGCAGCUUAACUCCUGAGGCUGUAGAAGCACUGAUUUGCACCCAGGACUGGUACCGGGCAGAAGGUAAAUCAACAGAGUUUUCUAUGGCAUCCAUCAAUGACUUCAUAAUGGGCGAGAUGGUAACUGAACUGCAAUAAGGAUUCAUCUAGGAUACAAAAUGAUUGAUGCUGACGGUAAUAGUGACAGCCUGAGAUUGAUGAUGUUUAUCAAACAAAUAUUCAGAUCCAUGUGGUGCCUAUCAUCCGUUUUGAUCAUUUACUGAAACAAUAUGUGGUGUGUUGGAAGCUUGAACUCAGUAAUGUAAUGAUGUAUUUGACUACUGAGACUUUGAGCUCCGUUUGUACUUUGUAA